GAUGAAGAACGCAGCGAACUGCGAUAAGUAAUGUGAAUUGCAGAAUUCAGUGAAUCAUCGAGUCUUUGAACGCACAUUGCGCCCCCUGGUAUUCCGGGGGGCAUGCCUGUCCGAGCGUCAUUGCUGCCCUCAAGCCCGGCUUGUGUGUUGGGCCGUCGUCCCCCCCCUCCCGGGGGGACGGGCCCGAAAGGCAGCGGCGGCACCGCGUCCGGUCCUCGAGCGUAUGGGGCUUUGUCACCCGCUCGAUUAGGGCCGGCCGGGCGCCAGCCGGCGUCUCCAACCUUCUAUUUUACCAGGUUGACCUCGGAUCAGGUAGGGAUACCCGCUGAACUUAAGCAUAUCAAUAAGCGGAGGA
rnacentral:misc_RNA from 1 species